UGGGGAAUAUUGCACAAUGGGCGAAAGCCUGAUGCAGCAACGCCGCGUGAGUGAUGAAGGCCUUCGGGUUGUAAAGCUCUGUCUUCUGGGACGAUAAUGACGGUACCAGAGGAGGAAGCCACGGCUAACUACGCGCCAGCAGCCGCGGUAAUACGUAGGGGGCAAGCGUUGUUCGGAGUUACUGGGCGUAAAGAGUGCGUAGGCGGUUUUCUAAGUUCGGUGUGAAAUCUCCCGGCUUAACUGGGAGGGUGCGCCGAAGACUGGGAAGCUGGAGUGUGGGAAAGGCAGGCGGAAUUCCUGCUGUAGCGGUGAAAUGCGUAGAUAUCAGGAGGCACACCGGCGGUGUAGACGGCUUGCUAGACCAUAACUGACGCUGAGGCACGAAAGCGUGGGUAGCAAACA
rnacentral:rRNA from 1 species